AUGUCACCCUCCUACGACGCUACUACUCCCUCCGUCUACCACUUGCUGUCACACGGCCAUAGAAGACAACCAUCUCUUUCGGUCACACUUCAAUAUUCGCGCAUACACAACACACGUUCAACUCCAUCAUCCGCUCCAACUCAAGCCAUCACCACCAUUCUUCUUUGGAUGCUCCUGGGCACGAUUUGGAAGAUUUAUUUGCGUUGA